rnacentral:rRNA from 1 species
UCGGGAAUUUUGGGCAAUGGGCGAAAGCCUGACCCAGCAACGCCGCGUGAAGGAUGAAGUAUUUCGGUAUGUAAACUUCGAAAGAAUAGGAAGAAUAAAUGACGGUACUAUUUAUAAGGUCCGGCUAACUACGUGCCAGCAGCCGCGGUAAUACGUAGGGACCAAGCGUUGUUCGGAUUUACUGGGCGUAAAGGGCGCGUAGGCGGCAAUUCAAGUCAUCUGUGAAAUCUCCGGGCUUAACUCGGAACGGUCAGAUGAUACUGCUUUGCUAGAGUGCAGAAGGGGCAAUCGGAAUUCUUGGUGUAGCGGUGAAAUGCGUAGGUAUCGGGAGGAACACCUGUGGCGAAGGCGGCCACCUGGUUGGAUACUGACGCUGAGACGCGAAAGCGUGGGGAGCAAACAGGAUUAGAUACCCAUGUAGUCCCUGAGCGGGCUGGCAAGGCGCAU